rnacentral:rRNA from 1 species
CCUACGGGUGGCAGCAGUGAGGAAUAUUGGUCAAUGGGCGCUAGCCUGAACCAGCCAAGUAGCGUGAAGGAUGACUGCCCUAUGGGUUGUAAACUUCUUUUAUAUGGGAAUAAAGUGCAGUAUGUAUACAGCAUUGCAUGUACCUUAUGAAUAAGGAUGGGCUACCUCCGUGCCAGCAGCCGCGGUAAUACGGAGGAUCCGAGCGGUGUCCGGAUUUAGUGGGUUGAAAGGGAGCGUAGGCGGGUUGUUAAGUCAGUUGUGAAAGUUUGCGGCUCAACCCUGAAACUGCAGUUGAUACUGGCAUCCUUGAGUACAGGAGAGGUCAGCGGAAUUCGUGGUGUAGCGGUGACAUGCUUAGAUAUCACGAAGAACUCCGCUUGCGAAGGCGGCCUGCUGGACUGUAACUGACGCUGAUGCUCGAAAGUGUGGGUAUCAAACAGGAUUAGAUACCCUUGUAGUC